rnacentral:rRNA from 1 species
GACGAACGCUGGCGGCGUGCUUAACACAUGCAAGUCGAACGGAAAGGCCUCUUUCGGGGGGUACUCAAGUGGCGAACGGGUGAGUAACACGUGAGUAACCUGCCCUUGACUUUGGGAUAACUUCAGGAAACUGGGGCUAAUACCGGAUAGGAGCUCCUGCUGCAUGGUGGGGGUUGGAAAGUUUCGGCGGUUGGGGAUGGACUCGCGGCUUAUCAGCUUGUUGGUGGGGUAGUGGCUUACCAAGGCUUUGACGGGUAGCCGGCCUGAGAGGGUGACCGGCCACAUUGGGACUGAGAUACGGCCCAGACUCCUACGGGAGGCAGCAGUGGGGAAUAUUGCACAAUGGGUGGAAGCCUGAUGCAGCAACGCCGUGUGCGGGAUGACGGCCUUCGGGUUGUAAACCGCUUUCGCUCAUGACGAAGCUUUGUGUGACGGUAGUGGGGAAAGAAGCACCGGCUAACUACGU